GUUACUUUUAGUCUCUGGCUAUCACAAAGUUACUCUGAAUAUAGUUGAGCAAGAAUUCCUGUGGUAUAGGGGAGCAUCUUUUCGGUGUAUGCCAAGGAGUGGUGUAGCUGUGUCUCGGGGUAGAACAAUUUCCAAUUCUCUGAGAAGACAACAAAUUGGUUUCCAAAGUGGUUGUCCAAGUUUUUACCCCAACAACAAUUGAAGAGUGUUACCCUUUCCCCAUAGUCCCACCAGCAUGAGCUGUCACUUGAGGUUUUGAUCUUAGCCAUUAACACUUCCAAGCCAAUCAGCUCUGAUCAAAAUUAUCUAAAUCUCAAGUACUUCAGCUGAGUUGUAAUUAUUUGAUGAUUUCUCUGUUUUGACCUAGUGAAUAGCUGGUAGAAUUAUACAGCUUUAACAGUGACAAAAUUCUUGUGUUAGGUCACAUAUAAAAAUUUUAAAGUUAUGUAUAUUAUAAACAUUCAGCUGUAGAGUAGGGUUGAGACAUUUUUAUUAAUCAUUUAAAAAUGUAGUGGUUCAGCAGAUUAACAGGGCAUAGAAAAGAUCACAUUUUUUUUUACAGUCAUCAACAUAUAUUCUGUCAAAAUAGAAAGUAAAUGAAUUUUAAAAAAAUUUCCACUCAACAUUUAAGAAUAUCACAUUGCACUUCCUAUUACCUGCUCCUAACAACUAAGGUACAAAAAAUAAAAUGAAAAUAUAUUUAGAUUUAAGUGUACUUUUAAACAACUAAGACUGAUGAGAUUAGCAUAAUAAUUUUUAAAUGAAUUCCUUGGUCCUUGGGAUUCAUUCUUCUAAAAGAUUCAACAGGCAUAGAUGUCUAUUACAUUAGGAGGUCAUUUUAACGUGUAUUAUCUUUAAGACCCUGCAAAAAAUUUAUAUGCUAUAAAGUCUUAUUUGAGAGGUGUUAGGUAAAUUCUAUUAUGUGUAUUUAAAAAUGUUUUGUCUUAUAGAAUAGAAAAGCUAUUGGAAAGGAUUAAAUGAUGACAAUUUACCUUCAGAAUGUUUGGAAGAAAGAUUGCUGUUUGUUCCUGCAAAGGAAAAUUGCAGCUAUAAUUUUAGUGAGGUGAAUUUUAUUAAAUUUAAGAAAUGUUUUAGGUUACAUUUCUGUACAUUCGAAUUGAUGUAAGAAUUCCCAAAAUCCCAUAGUAGGCUUCUCUUCAUAUACUUUCAUUAAUACUAUUGUAAAGAGCUAAAUUAACUGCAGAAUAAUAAAAAUAAAGCAGAUAAUCUAACGUUCACUGGAGUCUGGCAGCUGAUUCACCAUUGUGAUGGGUGGAUAAGAGUGGAGCCGCGUGCUUUCCUGCCCACUCUCCACUUAAGGAGCAUUUCAUAUUACAUGUCAACUUUGAAUUCCCAGCCAAUUCUCACUUCGAUCAGCUUCACUUACCUUGAUUUUUGUUGACAAAAUGGUAAUUUCCCUAUAUUCUCUAUCUGAACUUUUACUGCACAAACCUGUUCUAAGUAUUACAUUCAAAAUUAAAUAUGAUCUAGAAGUCUUAAGAAAUACAGGUGUCUUGCUUAUGGAAGCAAGUCUAAGUCAAUUAGUGCUGGUAUCGCUUUGACAUCAUACGUCUUAGGAACUAACUAAUGUAUAAUUAUAUCUUACAAAAUGUUUUAGGAAAUCUAUUUUACUUUUUAUAGUUACUAUUUAGUCUCAUAACUAUGUUGUCUCCUCAUUAGAUAUUAUUUAAAAUGCAAAGAAAAACAAAUUGAAUGUUAGAACAAUUGGGUGACUAGCCUAAGAUUAAUACUACUAGUUCAAUGAAGCCAUAGCAUUUUAUACAAGAUUUAUUUAUUGCUGGAAGACUCUUAGUAUUUUGAAGCAAGCUGCGUCUGUAUUGAAUGAAUAAGACAUAUAGUAAAAUCCAUUUUAUGCUGUCAAAAUCUUCAUAAAAAUAGAUAUUGUUUAUAUAAGUGUAUACAUGUAUUAAUUACAUUCUACAUCUAGGAAUAUGAAAAUAAAGCGGUACAUUUGAGUAAAAAUUGGUAUGUUCUUUUUUCUUUCUUCCUUUUUUUUUCAAGACAGGGUUUCUCUGUGUAGUUCUGGCUGUCCUGGAACUCACUCUGUAGACCAGGCUGGCCUCGAACCCAGAAAUCCACCUGCCUCUGCCUCCCAAGUGCUAGGAUUAAAGGCGUGCGCCACCAUGCCUGGCUGGUAUGUUAUUUUAACCUGACCGAUAAAGCUGUAAUGUUUAUUUGAGGGUAUAUGUAUUGGCAUAAAAUACAUAACUGGGUGUUUUUGUAACAGUAAUCUUUAGAGACAGAAGUAGGGGGCUCAAGCCUUUGAUUUAUAGCAAGUUUGACCUGGGCAAAUGGGAUCCUGAUUCAAAAUACACAUGAAUACACACAUAGAAUGAAUGGCUGUUCUAGUAUGUCCCACUUGAUUUUCAUUGUAAAUUUGAACUUUUGGUGGUAUGAAAUACAUCUGAAUCCUGCAAUGAAAAUAAAGCCUUUAUGGCUGAAGAGAUGAAGCAGCACUAAAACCACAAAUGCUCUUGUACAGGACCUGAGUUUGAUUCCGACCAAUUGCAUCAGGGGAUGUUUAAGUGCCUAUACCUCCUACUCCAGGGGCAUCAGAUACCUCUGGCCUCUGUGGGGACCUGCAUUAAGGUACACAUACCUAAACCAGAAUAUGUACAUAUGCUUAACGAAAAGCAAAUCUUUUAAAAUCACACCUCUUUGGGCUAAUUUAAAUAAGGAAUGGACUGCCACUUAAAAAACUUCUAAGAGUUGUUAAAAGUUAUUUUUUUUUCUUUCAAUAUAUGUUCAUUUAAAUUUUUGAAUGUUAUAUUGACCAUUACUUUAAAUUUCAGGCUCCUUUCUCCUUACAGGAUAUCCCAGGCUUGUUGGCAUUUGGCAUUGGUUUGUUGAUUAAAGUACAUCAUAACUUAGAAAGAUGAGUACUCUGAUAUAUUAUGUUGUACAAAGCUGACAAAGGUAGAAUGGCUUAACAAUACUUAUCCAAUGCAAGUGUAGAAACACUGAAGAGAAGGUGUAUAUAAUAGGUAAUGGUCCACUUUGUAGAAAGCCAUUUGGGAUUGCUUACUUCAAUCAAUGUAACUAGAUAUAUACAUGAACUAAAACAAACCAUUUAGACAUUCAUGGAUUCUAAAAAAAAAUGUGCAUAAAGAAACCAUUCAUAAUGUGAGAACUGAAAACAAUCAAAUUCCUAUAAGAUGUAGAAAGAAUAACCUAAAUAAAAUUAUCAUCAGAAACCCAUGGAACUGAAAAAAUAAAACUAUUUCAAUGGCAUGAUAUAGAUGAAUUUUAAACAUAUAAUUUUGAGUGAAAGACAGUAAAAAUGCAUACCACAGAUAUGAAACCCAGUCAUUGACAGAAUGAGGGCACAAGAGAGCAAGCUGGGUGUUGAAAAUAAUUUGUACUGAACAGGGAGAUUCUGAGGACAGUCCUAUAAAGCACAACUUUUCCACAAUGGGUACAAAUUUUUGCAUGUAAAUUAUAACUCCAGCAAAGUACAGUGUGUAUGAAUAUGUCCAUGUUUGUCAACUUACAGAUUUUUUCUAAAGGAUAAAGAUUCUGGAGAAAAUAAACUUAGAAGAAGGUAACUAUUUGUAUGAUGGAAAGGACAACAAAGUGGCCUCAAAGGAUUUUGAAUUAGUACUCCACAUGGUUAUGUGGCUUACAAGAGUGUGGCCCAAGGAAAUGGGAUUUUGAUUGUUGAUAACUGUUUAUAUAAUGCACUUGAAAUAUUGAUAUUUAAAAUUAUCUUAUUUAUAAAUUCAUAUUUUUAAUUUUAGGGAAAUUUUAUGAACUAUCUUAUUUGGUGAAAUGUAAAAAUUUUUUUUUAUUUAAGAUAAGUAUGUCAAAGUAAUUAUUGACUUUGAGUUUUAUCACAAUAUUCCUUAAAACCACGAGCUAGAGAGGAGUAUUUUGCAUGA
rnacentral:lncRNA from 1 species